rnacentral:rRNA from 1 species
UCCAGACUCCUACGGGAGGCAGCAGUGGGGAAUAUUGCACAAUGGAGGAAACUCUGAUGCAGCGAUGCCGCGUGAGGGAAGAAGGUUUUCGGAUUGUAAACCUCUGUCUUAAGGGACGAUAAUGACGGUACCUUAGGAGGAAGCUCCGGCUAACUACGUGCCAGCAGCCGCGGUAAUACGUAGGGAGCGAGCGUUAUCCGGAUUUAUUGGGUUUAAAGGGUGCGCAGGCGGAGGUGCAAGUCAGCGGUCAAAUUGCGGGGCUCAACCCCGUACUGCCGUUGAAACUGCAUCCCUUGAGUGCGCGAGAAGUAUGCGGAAUGCGUGGUGUAGCGGUGAAAUGCAUAGAUAUCACGCAGAACUCCGAUUGCGAAGGCAGCAUACCGGCACGCAACUGACGCUCAUGCACGAAAGCGUGGGUAUCGAACAGGAUUAGAUACCCGGGUA